CUCACUGACAAGUAUACACUGAUUUUGACAUGUAGUAAUUUUUCCCUAAAUGAAACUGUAUUUAUAUACUCAAUUUGUUUGUGUUUUGCAAAAACUCAUUUCAGAUAAGUAAUAUUUGCAAGAAAAAAAGGGUUUCGCUUCAGAUUUGUUUGUGUUUUAGAAAAAACUAAUUUCAGUUAAGUAAUAUCUGCAAGAAAAAAAGGGGUUUUGCUUCAGAGGCGGUGCUGCGCAUGCGUUUAUUUGGCUGCCAAAAGACGAUUGUCCUCCAUUUUGCAAACGGUUCCGUUGGCUUGAAGAGAUCUGCACUUGAAACCUUCGGUUUUGACUUUUAACGUUACAGGUAUUGAGAAAUGUCCUUGCUUGAUGACUGGAUCAGGAAAUGCCUGUGAUGCUUUGGUAUUCAGGCAAGCUACAGGUCAAAGAUGCGUAACCUUGGAUGUCCAGUGACCGCCGUUUUCCAGAAGAAGAAGGUCAUAAGUUCCAGAAGAAGGUUUAAAGGACAUAAAAUGGCCAAACAUUUGAGGAUUUUGCAAGGUACAGAGACUGUACAUCUGAGGAGGGAGGCAGCCAUCAAGACCCUGUGCCUUUAUUUUGGUGAAGAUGAUGAUUCUCUCAUACAUGUACAUGGAUAUCCAUGGCAAGGAGGUGUCAAGAGAAAACCACCCCUUGGAACAUGAGGACAUCGGCAUCGUUGUGGAUGGAGGCAUCAUUUUGGAGGAACCUGGUCUGUUGCACAAGGCUGUGCAGUGAAGCCAGAGACUUUCUAAUGAGGAGACACAGCACUCAAAAAAUCCUCCAUAGAAAUGCAUGGGGUUAGUUUGUAACACCGUUGUAUACACAUAUCCCACCCCUUCCUCGGCAAAACGUUGACAUGUGAAUACAUUGAGCCAAUCAUAUGAUGUGUUGUGCAGACAUCGUGCCAAUCAUGUGUUGUGAACUCGGCGCUGGAGUAAGGUUGGGGUCGUGAAGCCUUGCGCACGUGCAUUUCUGCCAAAUAGGAUGCCCGAUGAGUGGCAAAAAAGCGUUGCAUUAUGGCUGCCGAGUGGAGGGACUUGCCUAAAAGGACUUUGGUGAAGCUAGGGGUCAUAUACACAUUGAAUCAAUGUUGAACU